rnacentral:rRNA from 1 species
UGGCUCAGGAUGAACGCUAGCGACAGGCUUAACACAUGCAAGUCGAGGGCAGCAUAAAAGUAGCAAUACGUUGGUGGCGACCGGCGCACGGGUGAGUAACGCGUAUGCAACCUACCUAUCAGAGGGGAAUAACCCGGCGAAAGUCGGACUAAUACCGCAUAAAACAGGGGGCACCGCAUGGUGAUAUUUGUUAAAGAAAUUCGCUGAUAGAUGGGCAUGCGUUCCAUUAGGUAGUUGGUGAGGUAACGGCUCACCAAGCCGACGAUGGAUAGGGGAACUGAGAGGUUGGUCCCCCACACUGGUACUGAGACACGGACCAGACUCCUACGGGAGGCAGCAGUGAGGAAUAUUGGUCAAUGGGCGGGAGCCUGAACCAGCCAAGUCGCGUGAAGGAAGAAGGAUCUAUGGUUCGUAAACUUCUUUUGCAGGGGAAUAAAGUGCAGGACGUGUCCUGUUUUGUAUGUACCCUGAGAAUAAGGAUCGGCUAACUCCGUGCCAGCCGCCGC